rnacentral:rRNA from 1 species
UGUCGUGAGAUGUUGGGUUAAGUCCCGCAACGAGCGCAACCCUAUCUUAUGUUGCCAGCACGUUAUGGUGGGGACUCCGUAAGAGACUGCCGGGGUCAACUCGGAGGAAGGUGGGGACGACGUCAAGUCAUCAUGCCCCUUAUGUCCAGGGCUUCACACAUGCUACAAUGACCAGUACAGAGGGCUGCGAGACCGUGAGGUGGAGCGAAUCCCUUAAAGCUGGUCUCAGUUCGGAUCGGGGUCUGCAACUCGACCCCGUGAAGUCGGAGUCGCUAGUAAUCGCGCAUCAGCCAUGGCGCGGUGAAUACGUUCCCGGGCCUU